rnacentral:lncRNA from 1 species
GCGGAGCCAUGUUAUAGCAUGUGGGUCAGUUGACCCAUGUGAAUUUAUGAACAAAAUUUUUACAUAGUAAUUGCUUUAUAAAACUGGAAAACUAGCUAGUGUAAAUUUUAGGUAAUUGACCCCUAUGAUAUAUGUUAAUUAUGAAUUGACCCCCUUGACCAGUUUCUUAGCUCCGCCAAUGCAGCUAUGCGGCUUUGCAGGGCUUUAGGGCAUCUCCAUCUCUACUCCAUUUUUUCCUCUAAAAUAGAGUAAAAGUGAUUAUGGAGUAAAGAAUGCUCCAACCCAAC